ACGAACUCUUACUGUCUAUGGCCAUGCCGUUCCCGUCUGAUCUCGGAAGCUAAGCAGGGUCGGACCUGGUUAGUACUUGGAUAGGAGACCGCCUAGGAAGACCAGGUGCUGUAGGUG
rnacentral:rRNA from 1 species